rnacentral:rRNA from 1 species
GACGAACGCUGGCGGCGUGCUUAACACAUGCAAGUCGAACGGAGCGAAUGAAAGCUUGCUUUUAUGAGCUUAGUGGCAAACGGGUGAGUAACACGUAGACAACCUGCCGACAGGAUGGGGACAACAUUCCGAAAGGAAUGCUAAUACCGAAUGAAGCGGAGGAGAGGCAUCUCCCCUCCGUGAAAGAUGGCCUCUAUUUAUAAGCUAUCACCUGUCGAUGGGUCUGCGUCUGAUUAGCUGGUUGGCGAGGUAACGGCUCACCAAGGCGACGAUCAGUAGCCGGUCUGAGAGGAUGAACGGCCACAUUGGGACUGAGACACGGCCCAGACUCCUACGGGAGGCAGCAGUGGGGAAUCUUCCGCAAUGGGCGCAAGCCUGACGGAGCAACGCCGCGUGAGUGAAGAAGGUCUUCGGAUCGUAAAGCUCUGUUGACGGGGACGAACGUGCGAG